AUCCGCAAGUCGGCCCGGGGAAUUCAACUUGCCGUUUGGGCUGCGGGCGUUGGGUCAGGGAUCCGUAAAGACCCGCCUGGCGUUCGGCAGUCGUCGGCGAGUGCACUUUCCUCGGGUAGAGCGCCACGACCGGUUUCGGAGCGGUCAUAAGCCGGCUGGGAAGGUGACUUCCUCCUCGGAGGAAGUGUUAUAGCCCGGCCAGGUCGGCUCGUUCCGAGACCGAGGAUUUGCCGCGUCUCACUGCCCCUGGCUCUCUGGGUGCGUUCGACUGGGGAAGCACUGCUUGCAGUUCUCUCCGACUGCGUGCCUUGAUUGGUCGGGAAGCACGAGGCGCUUCGGGUCAGUGGCGAAUCGGUCGGUCCUCCACCCGACCCGUCUUGAAACACGGACCAAGGAGUCUAACAUGUGCGCAAGUCAUGGGGUUCUGUACGAAACCUAAAGGCGCAAUGAAAGUGAAGGUCAACCUCCGGUAGGCCUAGGUAGGAUCCCCGCGAGGGGCGCACUACCGGCCCGUCUCGACCACAUCGUUGGUGGGGCGGAGCAAGAGCGUACACGUUGGGACCCGAAAGAUGGUGAACUAUGCCUGAGUAGGACGAAGCCAGAGGAAACUCUGGUGGAGGUCCGUAGCGAUUCUGACGUGCAAAUCGAUCGUCAAACUUGGGUAUAGGGGCGAAAGACUAAUCGAACCAUCUAGUAGCUGGUUCCCUCCGAAGU
rnacentral:rRNA from 1 species